GGGCCUAUGGCGCAACGGUAGCGCGUGGUACGUUCUUACUCAAUCUGUCAUUUCAGAUUGAACCUUUAACUAACAAGUUCACAGUGACUCCAGAUCACAAGGUUAUCCGUUCGAAUCGGGUUGGGCUCA